CGUGUAGGCGGCCAGGUAGGUCUGCUGUGAAAACUCGAGGCUCAACCUCGAGAUGUCGGCAGAAACCAUCUGGCUAGAGUCCGGAAGAGGAGAGCGGAAUUCCUGGUGUAGCGGUGAAAUGCGCAGAUAUCAGGAAGAACACCCGUGGCGAAGGCGGCUCUCUGGGACGGUACUGACGCUGAGACGCGAAAGCGUGGGGAGCGAACA
rnacentral:rRNA from 1 species